rnacentral:rRNA from 1 species
AUUGAACGCUGGCGGCAGGCUUAACACAUGCAAGUCGAGCGGAGCGAGGGUGCUUGCACCUUAGCUUAGCGGCGGACGGGUGAGUAAUGCCUAGGAAUCUGCCUAUUAGUGGGGGACAACAUUCCGAAAGGAAUGCUAAUACCGCAUACGCCCUACGGGGGAAAGCAGGGGAUCUUCGGACCUUGCGCUAAUAGAUGAGCCUAAGUCGGAUUAGCUAGUUGGUGGGGUAAAGGCCUACCAAGGCGACGAUCUGUAGCGGGUCUGAGAGGAUGAUCCGCCACACUGGGGCUGAGACACGGCCCAGACUCCUACGGGAGGCAGCAGUGGGGAAUAUUGGACAAUGGGCGGAAGCCUGAUCCAGCCAUGCCGCGUGUGUGAAGAAGGCCUUUUGGUUGUAAAGCACUAUAAGCGAGGAGGAGGCUACUUAGAUUAAUACUCUGGGAUAGUGGACGUUACUCGCAGAAUAAGCACCGGCUAACUCUGUGCCAGCCGCCGCCGUAA